AGUGAACGCUGGCGGUAGGCCUAACACAUGCAAGUCGAACGGCAGCACAGUAAGAGCUUGCUCUUACGGGUGGCGAGUGGCGGACGAGUGAGGAAUACAUCGGAAUCUACUUUUUCGUGGGGGAUAACGUAGGGAAACUUACGCUAAUACCGCAUACGACCUACGGGUGGAAGCAGGGGAUCUUCGGACCUUGCGCGAUUGAAUGAGCCGAUGUCGGAUUAGCUAGUUGGCGGGGUAAAGGCCCACCAAGGCGACGAUCCGUAGCUGGUCUGAGAGGAUGAUCAGCCACACUGGAACUGAGACACGGUCCAGACUCCUACGGGAGGCAGCAGUGGGGAAUAUUGGACAAUGGGCGCAAGCCUGAUCCAGCCAUACCGCGUGGGUGAAGAAGGCCUUCGGGUUGUAAAGCCCUUUUGUUGGGAAAGAAAAGCAGCAGGUUAAUACCCCGCUGUUCUGACGGUACCCAAAGAAUAAGCACCGGCUAACUUCGUG
rnacentral:rRNA from 1 species